rnacentral:rRNA from 1 species
AUUGAACGCUGGCGGCAGGCCUAACACAUGCAAGUCGAACGAGUGGCGGACGGGUGAGUAAUGUAUGGGAAACUGCCCGAUGGAGGGGGAUAACUACUGGAAACGGUAGCUAAUACCGCAUACUAUCGGAUGAACCCAGAUGGGAUUAGCUUGUAGGUGAGGUAACGGCUCACCUAGGCGACGAUCCCUAGCUGGUCUGAGAGGAUGAACAGCCACACGGGAACUGAGACACGGGCCAGACUCCUACGGGAGGCAGCAGUGGGGAAUAUUGCACAAUGGGGGAAAUCCUGAUGCAGCCAUGCCGCGUGUAUGAUGAAGGCCUUCGGGUUGUAAAGUACUUUCAGCGGGGAAGCGGUAUCUGCAGAAGAAGCACCGGCUAACUACGUGCCAGCAGCCGCGGUAAUUC